AACGCACAUUGCGCCUUUCUUUAGAAAGGCAUGCCUGUCUGAGCGUCGUUAAAACCUAAAUGGGGCCCGAUUGGGUUCCGUAUUGGGCAAAUCGCCCCUCUGGGCGUUGCCUUAAAGACAUUAGUCUGAUUAGCGGGUGGGUUCCUGUAGGACAAGGCCGCUUCUCAAGCUAGGACUCUUUCGAAUUUGACCUCAGAUCAGGUAGGAAUACCGCCUGAACUUAA
rnacentral:misc_RNA from 1 species